rnacentral:rRNA from 1 species
UCCUUUAACGAGUACCCAUUGGAGGGCAAGUCUGGUGCCAGCAGCCGCGGUAAUACCAGCUCCAAUAGCGUAUAUUAAUGUUGUUGCGGUUAAAAAGCUCGUAGUUGAAUUUGUGUUCCGCGCUGUCGGUUCACCGCCCGCGGUGUUUAACUGGCACGUCCGCGGAACGUCCUGCCGGUGGAUGCGUGGACCUUGUAUGCUUCCCCAUUGUGCGUGUGCAACUUCGGUUGUUACUGUAUGAUGUGGUGGGGUUGCAGGCGCUCUACCAUCCGACUCAAUAAUCCUGUCGCGGUGCUCUUAAUUGAGUGUCGAGGCGGGCCGGCACGUUUACUUUGAACAAAUUAGAGUGCUCAAAGCAGGCUAAAAUUUCGCCUGAAUACUGUGUGCAUGGAAUAAUGGAACAGGACCUCGGUUCUAUUUUGUUGGUUUUCGGAAACCCGAGGUAAUGAUUAAUAGGGACAGAUGGGGGCAUUCGUAUUGCGACGUUAGAGGUGAAAUUCUUGGAUCGUCGCAAGACGGACAGAAGCGAAAGCAUUUGCCAAAAAUGUUUUCAUUAAUCAAGAACGAAAGUCAGAGGUUCGAAGGCGAUCAGAUACCGCCCUAGUUCUGACCAUAAACGAUGCCAGCUAGCGAUCCGCCGACGUUCCUCCGAUGACUCGGCGGGCAGCUUCCGGGAAACCAAAGCUUUUGGGUUCCGGGGGAAGUAUGGUUGCAAAGCUGAACUUAAAGGAAUUGACGGAAGGCACCACCAGAGUGGAGCCUGCGGCUUAA